UACGGGGGGGGCAAGCGUUGUUCGGAUUUACUGGGCGUAAAGGGCUCGUAGGUGGCCAAUUAAGUCAGGCGUGAAAUCCCCAGGCUCAACUUGGGAACUGCGUCUGAUACUGGUUGGCUUGAAUUCGGGAGAGGGAUGCAGAAUUCCAGGUGUAGCGGUGAAAUGCGUAGAUAUCGGAAGGAACAUCAGUGGCGAAAGCGACUUCCUGGACCAAUACUGACGCUCAUGUGCGAAAGCGUGGGGAGCAAACAGG
rnacentral:rRNA from 1 species